rnacentral:rRNA from 1 species
UACGUAGGUGGCUAGCGUUGUCCGGAUUUACUGGGCGUAAAGAGCGCGCAGGCGGUCGUUCAAGUCGCGUGUGAAAGCCCCCGGCUCAACUGGGGAGGGUCAUUCGAUACUGAUCGACUUGAAGGCAGGAGAGGGAAGUGGAAUUCCCGGUGUAGUGGUGAAAUGCGUAGAUAUCGGGAGGAACACCAGUGGCGAAGGCGACUUCCUGGCCUGUUCUUGACGCUGAGGCGCGAAAGCUAGGGGAGCAAACGGG